ACCAGCGGCCGCAUCCGGCGCGGACUGCGGAAGAAGGCGUGGCGCCGGGCGCCCAGGGCGCUCAGCUGCUUCAUCCUCCGCUCCUUGGAGCGCCGGUUCUGGAACCAGACCUGCAGCACAUGGCGGCGGGGUGAGGCCACCGAGACUUCACCCCCGACCCCGGGGUGCUCCGGGCCUAGCCAGCACCCCUCCACCGCCCGGCUAGCCGACACCGCGCGCGCGCGCUUGUGUGUGUGUGUAGGGUAGUGGUGACGGUGCGAUCUCUGACUAGGACCACUCAGGGCGGACCCUGAGCCAAUGGUGAGCAGGAAUCCCACAGGAGGACCUGAACAGGCCGCUGUGUCUGGAGGGGGACAGUUGUGGUAUAGCUGGAGUUUUUCUAACAGUCACACUAUCACAGUUACCGCUUCUCUGGGGCUGUACACACAUAGAGACUACGCCUCUCCAAAAUAAUGUCAGACACACACCGCGUUUCCAUUUCACGGUCUCUUGCAGCAACCCUCCCCCCAACCAUGACAGAGACACAGAAGCAGCCUAUGAUACCAAAACCUACAAUCUCCUUUUCACACCCAUGUACAAUCUCACAGUGCCAAACAUAGUUAUCCACAGCCUCUUGCCAAUAGUGACACAGACACACGACUUCUCAUUCACGUACACAGGUUCUCACAGUCUCCUGUAGGCCUCAGGGCCUUCCGUGUUGCACACAUGUGCACAUGCACAGCCAGCCUCCCAGGCAGGUACAUCCACCCACAGCCACGCAGGGCAUCAGGCCCGGUGAACCGGGAACCUGGCACUGAGCCAGAGACUCCCCCUGGCCUGGAGCUUCAGCAGUCUCAUCUCCUUUCCGCCCACAGGCCCAGCUGCCUCCAGGUAGGCUCCCAUCCCCAAAUUUCACUCCAACCCGCUGGAAGCAGAGCUGACUCCCGGCGGAACCACCUCUCUUUGGAGGGGAAGUCCCUGAUCUGGGGCUUGUCUAAUUGGAGCAAGCGAUCACAAAGUUGGAGUUGCAGACUUAGGAAGAGUUCACUUUGUGCAGAAGGCAGAGGGACUGAUUGACUCUGGGGGACACUGAGACUUCUCUGACCCUUCCGAACCCGAGGUGGGGUGGGGUAUGUGCAGAAAGAGGGCUCCCCACUCUCUCCAGAGUGUUCAACAGUUCUCCUCCUCCAGCCUCUGGCUGAACUCCCGUCCCUCCCCCUCCACUGCCACGAUCACCUCUGUUGGGCUGGGAAGAGGACUUUCUAGAUGCUCGAAGGCAUCAGGCAUUUCAUAGGUCCCGCAGGCUCGGGGUGUGUCUAGGCACCCCACCUCUGGACUCCAUCUCUCACUUCUCUCUGGAUUCUGGGCUCUCCCGGCUCGGCCUGGGUGCCCAAAGUGGCAGUGUGGGCCUCUAUGGGAUGGAGAGGCGCGCCGGGGCCUGACCUGAAUGACGCGCAUGUUGAGGCCGGUCUCCUGCGCCAGCUGCUCGCGGAUGUGGCGGGUGGGCUUGGGUGUAGCAGCGAAGGCGGCCUUCAGCGUCUCCAGCUGCUUGGCUUUGAUGGUGGUGCGCGGUCCCCGCCGCUUGGCGCCCAGGUUCUGGUCGUCAUUCUCGUUGCUACCCCCUUCCUUGUCCGACACGUUGGCGCUCUCCGAGUCCUUGGCGUCGUCCUGCGACGGGUCUUGGGAAUCCGGAGACAAACUGGGGUCACUGCCCGUGGUGGCUAAGAGGGAAAGGACAGAUGAGCCGGGGCCUUGGCGAGCCUUCCUCCCCCAGGACCCGCUUGCACCUAGCCAGCCAGGAAUUGGGGCCUCACCCGAGUGAAGGCUGUUCUCUUUGGCAACACUGCUGUUACUUAGGUAAUCCUCUUUGCAGACGAACUUAUUCUCGUCGAUGAUGUAGAGUUCCUCGCCAGUGGAGAGCUGCUUGUUACACAUCAUGCAGGUGAAGCAGUUCAGGUGAAACACUUUGCUCCGCGCUCUCCGCACCAGGUCGCUAGGGGAGAUGCCCUGCGCGCAGCCUGCGCAUUUGGUACCGAAACACCUGCGGGGGGUGGGGGUGGGGGGCGGGGGCGGGGAUGGGUCAGCCAGGGGCAAGGGACAGGCGGAGAGAAAGAUGACAGCGAGAAAGAGGGAAGAUGUGAAAAGUGGAGGAAGUAGGAGAGGAGGAAUGGAGCACAGAAAGAAGGGAAGAGAGAGAUAAAGAGAGGCAGAAUUCCGGUUAAGCAGGUGAGGAGGCAGCAGGAGAGAGAGCGCGGCACCAGGGAAGAGUCAGGGAGGAGAUACACGCGGUUAGAGCCAGGGGCCCAAGCUACCCCCCAAGCCCCAGCCUCACUCCCAGCGUUAUCCCAGAGGAAAGAUGCAUCGUCUAAAGAAGGUGGCAAGGCAGUGACCUGUGUGGGCGGGGGGAACAGGGGCACUUAUUUUCCGAUUAGAUUCAGAAAAGUCGAAUUACAAUUAGAACUCUAUACAAACGUGCGCGGAGCGCCGCUUUUCUCUCCUUCAUCGCAAAAGGACCCGCACAUAGGCGUGGGGUUGGCGAUGUCUAGCCCCGCUGUUGGUAAACAAACAUAGCCGCGGGGAGCCCCCCCCCCCCACCCCGUAGCCUUAGCUGGGCCGCCGCCACGCUCUUGCCUAAAGCGGGACAGGUUGGCAAAAGCGGGAGCUGCGGGAGCUGGCUCUGGGCGCUCUGCCGCGGGUUGUGGAAGCCGGGCUCAGGGACCCACUGGCAGCGGGUACGAGUACGGUUUGCCACCCUCCCGCUAUGAUCCAGUCCUUGAGGAAAACCGGGCAGCCCGCGGAGGCUCAGAGGCUCAGCCUGCGCGUUCUCCCGAAAUACCAGCGAGCACGGAGCUUUGCUUCAUGGUUCCACGCAACCCAACCCCAGCCACGAGUCCUGGAGCGGCACUGGGGACAGCGCGUCUUGGCCCUCUGAGUGGCUUUGAAUCCCUCUUCCUCCUGCUCCCUGGUUUGAACUAUGACCACAAACUCAGAAAAGCAGAGACCAAGUCAGCCGAGUAAAUUGCGAUAUUUCACAUCCGUAGGGUGGAAUUACAAUUCGCAUUUGUGCCCGUUCUUCUCUGUUGACUUGUGUGUUUGUGUGAAUGGAGCGGCAAAAUUGUGAGUGUACGAUAAUAUAAUUAAAAUGCUAAACGAAUAAGUGGGGUAGGGAGAAGUCUCCCCACCAGCAAGCUGGAGGUCUCGGCUUUCCCCCAGGUUUCAUCAAGGAGGUUGCUGGCUGUGGCUGGCAGUUUCCUAGGAGGACUACUGAGCGGAGCCCGUGGGAGUCGGAGUCGCCUGGGGCUGAAGCCGAACCACCAGACAACUUCGGCAGCCAGGGAAGCAGGAAAAAGCUCCGGGCACUUCGCAGGCUACAGUGCAGCUGUUUGUCCAGGUCUGCACUCGGAGGCAUGUCCGGGUUUGGGGAAGACCCCCGGGCGUGCAGGAUCGGCUUUAAGGCCGAGUUCUUUCCUGCCGCUGACAGGGCAGUUGGCCCAGACACUCUACGCAAAAGGCUCGGAGCUUCCCGCCAAGACCGCUCGGGGUCGGAAAAGGUAGUGGCUGGGAGGGAGCCUGGGCUCUGCCUGGAGGGCAAACAACCCCGAAGGCCUGGAGAAUGCAGUUGCUGCAGAGCUUGGCUCCGGGAAAGACAGCAGUCCGGGCUACAACGCCCGAGGCUGCCCUGUCUCUUCCAAGCUUGAAGGGGCUUCUGGGCCGAGUCAGGCUCAGACCCUUUCUUCCCAGGCACAUGCAGCCAAACCCAGACCCAUAGUUUCCAGGAUGCAAGCAGGGCCGCGUCCCGGGCUCCCAGCGCGCCAGCUGGCGGAGAGGCGGGCGCUCGCGGGACUUGGCUGCCCUCUCUAGAAGCAGUUCCUAACUGGGCAGCGAGGCCACGCUAACCUCUGAUCCGAAGCUGGCCGGGAAGGGCCCGCGGGGAGGUAGCAGCAGAGGCGUGGGAGGAAAGUACUCACCGGAAGAAGUCGUUCUUGCAGUACAGUUUGCCUUCCCUGGAGAAGCACUUCUCGGUCAGGUUGCAUUUACAUUCACAGCACUGGACGCACUUGACGUGCCAGGCCCUGUCCAGCACGUUCAAGAGAAAGCGGUCCAGGAUGGGCCUUUUGCAGCCGGCACAGUGAACCAUGGUCUUUGGUUUGGUCUGAUGAGGCCCAGAGAGAGAGAGGGGCAAAGUAGAGCCCAGGGGAUGACUCCUGAAGACAACCGGCACGAGCUCCCCAGUCUCUCCAAAAAGAGGACACACACUCGGCCGUGCAAGCCAAAACUCGCACCAGGAAAUCAAAGUAGGGUGGAGGAAACGAGGCUGAUCGGGGCCUGGGGGGUGUCUCAGUGAAGUGUGCAGCCGGGGAGUCCUGGGGCCCCGGGCUGGAGCGGCGCCGCCUGAGCUCCCGGGGCGAGGAAAAGAAGUCUCAGGCGGGAGAGAAUGCGACCCUUCUGCUCAGAGCCCGCGGAGGAGUGAAGGUCAGCGAGAACGGCGGCGGGAACGGAAAUAAAUAAAUAAAAACGGAGAAGAAGAAGAAGACGACUUGCCGAGCUCGGGUUGCGAGGAAAGCGCCGCUGAGUUCUCCGGCGCUUGAGGUAGAGCUGUCAGAAGUCAAAGUGCAUCUGCUUUUGUCGGGGUAUGAGGGCGAGUGUGUGCGUGCCAGGCUGCCCACCACUGGGAUUUCCCCCCUCUUUUUUUAAAAAAGGGAAGGAAAGAACAAAAGGAGCAGAGAAGCUUUGGAUCCUAAACUGCCGGCAUCGCGCCGCGGGUCUGGACGCGCCGAGCGCCCGCGCUGGGCCUGGGGGAGGGGGCGAGGGCCGACCGCGGGAGAAGGGAAAGAGGGGAGGGUAGGAGGAAGAUCUUGGUGUUGAUUGCUGUUGUUGCUUAGGUUUCCCCGCUUUUGGAGAAGUGUUUGUGUCAAUCGAAAACAGAGAGGGACAACUCCGUGCGGAGGCAGCCAGGCGCACUCGCUCCUUCCCUACCGCCCCAGCCCAGUCACCUCGGCCCUUGGCCUGCCUGGCGGCCUCCGUGUCCUCAGGGCGACCCUCCCUGCGCCCGGGCUCCUUCGGGAGGCACUACGGGCUGGCUUCUCACCGCGCCUGGCCGUGCAUCGUGGCUCCAGUCACAACUCGCGGCCGCCUGGGCGCACAGCCCCGCAUCGCUCGGCCCACGCUCUGUCUGCCUCCGUCUAACCCCACAGUCGCUCGACUUUCUCUCCUUUUCCUUUUCCCCUUCUUUUUUUCGUUGUGGUGGCAAAUCUGGGUUUCCUUUCUAGCCUCCUUCCUUUUUUUGUGUGUGUUUCUUUUGCAGCGGGAGGAGUCGGGGAGGAGGGGGGCAGCUUGGAGAGCUUAAAAAAAAAAAAUGUCCUGGCGCAGCGGCUACAGUAGGCCGGCGGCUGGAACGGCUCGGCGCGGACCGCCGCUGUCGCCGCCCGGGCCGCGGCUCGUUGCUGGCCCUCCCCGGGCGCGUCCCUCAGUCCCUGGUCUCCUGGCCCAGUCGCCGCCCCGGUGCGUCUCUCCCCAGCUCCGGCGGCUCGGUCACUGCUCCUGGCUGUUGGCUGAGCUCUGGAAGCCCCCUCGCCUUAAUGCAGCGCCCGCCGACGUCACUGCGGCCUGCGACCAAUCAGCGCCUCGCGGUCCCUCUGUAAACCAUUCUGCAUCCCCCGGCCCGGGAGAGUGCGGGGAGACCGCGUUUAGAGGAUCAGUGGCGGCGGCACCCGCGGCCCCGCGCGGCGCGGACGGCGGGCAGCACCGUGCCUGGGCCCCCUCCUGCUCCGAACAGCCCAAGGAGCAGAAAAGAGUGACAAGGCCGUGAAAGGAGGCGCCUGGGGCGUAGCCGGCUCUAGGAGGUUACCCCAUGCGGAGUACACACCCUGCUACACCCAUCCCGGAGGAGGGAGGAAAUAGCCAGCCCGGAGCACCCCUGGACUCUGCCGGUCCCAGAGGCCACGCAAACUCCGCCCAGACUCGGUGAGGCCGCGGUAAUGCCACGCAGGGAACUGCGUGGAUAAGGUCGCUCGGAUCUGAGCGCCAAGGUCUCCCGCCUCUCCUUCCCGUCUAGUUCUCUCCGGACUCAAAUUGCCUUAAUCUCACCCAUCACUCUGUCAUGGAAAUGAUCUACUCGUGUGCAGUACUUUACAGCUUGUAUCACGGUCUCCCCUGAACCGUAUAGCAAGAGGGUGGUGGGGGGUGGAAGAGAAGGGUACCAUCUCCACUUUCCCGGCCAGGAGGCCCAAGUUAGGAGGCUUGUCCGAGAUCCCUAGGUCAGCGCACUAUUUAAGGUGAGAAGUUGGGUGGAGAGCUUGGCACCUUGCUCCAGUGUGCACUUUGCGCCUGGCCAUGUUUUAUAAGCAAGGGGGGCUUGGGCUGUUUAAGGGGGAGCAGGGACCGCAGGGCCAGGAAAGGGCAGCAUCCGGCAGGCCGGGGCGUCACGGUGUGUGCCUGGCCUGGGUAAACAACUCCGGCUUCCCACGAGCGCUGGAGGGACCCUGGGCAUGGGGCAGGGGCGUGGGGGAGGGGGGGCAGGGGCGUGGGGUGGGGCAGGGAGCGGGUGGAACAGCGAGGUCAAGCGUGGAGAUUCCAGUUGCGAGUCAGCUCCGCGCCGCGGAGCAAAGACAGGACGUGGAUAAUCUUGGGAGCGAGACGCUGAGCUGAAGAACAGAAAAGAGAGAUAGAGGCAGAAGUGAGGAGAGAGGGACAGGAAAAGAAAAUAAAGGCAGAAAACCAGAGAAAAGAUGAGACGGAGUGCGGAAAAGCAGGCGGGGAUAAAGAAAGGAAAGAUCUGUCGGGGAAAUGCGGGGAGAAGUGGAGGAAAAGAAACAGAAAAUAGACCCAGAGAGAGACCCUGCCACGAAGAAGGCCGCGGGGACGGGCGCGGAGCCGAGGGCCCUGCAGGCACGGAGGGGGCGUCCCGCGGGUCUGGGGGUGUGCGGCUUUGGGACAGGCGAGUGCGUGCUGAGAGAAGGAGGCAGCGUGUUUUGUGGGAGACUCUGCGCCCGUGGAAAAGCGGCUCUGGGCAGGAAUCCAACAAAUAAAUAAAACGUCUAAGACGGCGUGACAACAAUGUGUAUUUGGGUGCGUGCCCGUGUUCCUCUGUCUGAACACAGUCACACCCAGUAAGGAAGACAAACGGGGCUCGUGCCUCACAGUAAUUAAUCCUCUCACUAAUUGACUCUCUCCCCUUACCUAAUGGCGGUGGUCACUGCCGAUAUCUGGAGAGACAUCAAGUAGGGGGAGACAGAGAGAGAGAACCCCAAAGCUAACGACCUUUGGGACUGAGAUUGAGUUUUUUCUGGACUUGGCAGCUCUAAGCCCCUGCCCCCACCUCCACUUUUGGGCAGAGUUCCAUAGAUAUUGCUGCCUUCCUUCCCCCUCCAGGUUUUGGGCAGCAUUAAUAAAGAUCUCCUCAGAUUAGGGUGAUGUGGUUACACACACUGAAGCCCUUCUACCGCCCUCCACCUUGGGAGAUCAGUUUCAGAGGCUGAAAGCCACCCCUGUCCCUGGGACAUUUCUUACCUCCCUGCAAUACCAGCUCCCCCUCCCAUGUUGUUCCCCCAGGGGCCCAGACCCUGCACCCUCUUCUUUCAGGCAGUACUAACUCUUCCAAGGACCUGGGCGGUGUCCCGCAGUCCCCUAAGGCAGGUGAGGUUUUGAACGGGCUGAGAAGCAGUCUGGGGUUGAUGGAAGGAGAGCGGUGGGAGGUCAGGGCAAGGAUGGGGAGAGGCUUCCAGAGACAACCUUCCUCAGACUUGGGUUGAGAGACACAGAGGCGCAGAGAGGCGCAGUUGCCACCAGGCAAGAGAGAGGCCUCUAGGGACAAAGGAGGGAAAGGUGGGCUCUAUGCACUGUGGGAAGGAGCGCCAAGUGUGUGAGAGGCAGGAAGGUGGUCAUGUCUCUGUGACUGUGAGGGUGACAGUUCUGGUCUGUCUGUGUGAGCAUGGGGAAGCCCCCUAUGUUCCCUCACAGCACCCUCAGUUCUCAGACUGGGGAGAAGAGGCAGGGGACUGGUCUGGGACUUGAUGGUCCCCUUGGUAGCUGAGUUGGCUGGAAGGGGUCCAACACCCACAGUCUGUCUGGUAAUGCAGCUUUGAGGCUUAGGUUUGGGAGGUGAAUGUCAACUCUCACCCCUGUGAGGUGGCAGCUUUGCUCUGUUGGCCUCCUCAGAGGCUAAAUAAAGAAAUGCUGAGAUCUAUAAACCACCCAGCCCAGAGAGAAAAAGGAGGGAGGAAGGGCAGCUCCCUAGAAAAAAAUCCACCCCCUCCCCACCACUAAACACAUUUUUAAUUGUCCCUUGGGAACAUUUGUACAUUUGACCAAAGCAAAUCUCAAAGCAGCAGCAGCAAAAUGAGUCAGAGGGGCUGGUGGUCCAGAGAGAGCUGGGGAUUGGAGAUGGGGAGGUGAGGAGAGGUGGCAGGCAUGUUUGGGAAGGUGAGAAACUUGGCUCCUUUCCCACCAUCUCUGUCAAGCUUUAGAAAGAAAGUGAGCAGGAGAAAUAAAGUUCCAGGGGAAAGAAAGAGAAGGGCAUAUAAAAGGCAAAUCCAACCCAGAAAGGAAAGAAAGUGAAGAAGAAAGAAAAAGGCAGGGAGUGGGGAGAGACUAUAAUAAAAGAGGGUGAAGGCGGCCCCAGGAGGCUGGGCCUCGUCCCAAACCAUCCGUCUUCAUUGUCUCCGUGUGUGCAAAGGCAACUCUGGCAUAAGGAAAACCCACUAUUGGAGCCGAGGCUUUAUUUUAUAUCCUAUACAUCAGGAGGGAGGCAAAGCUUUAUUUUCGCCAAGAGACAGAUAUUUUAUUUCUCUCUUACGGUUUUAUGUGUGAGAGAUGUCAGGUUGCCACAAUGGAUGGCUAAUGCAUAGGCAAGAGGAAGCCGUGUUGGCAUGCUGUGUGUCAUGGGGUCUUGGGGGGGUGAGCGGGCCUGGGAUUUAGGGCUGAUGAGACACUCUGGGGGAUUUGUGCUAAAACAUCUCUCUUCAUAAAUCCAGAAGCAUGGUCAGCUCAACAGGGAGAAGAAGGAGUUUUAGAGGGAAAAGAGUUGGGCUUAGUAAUAAAUGAAUACACAAAGGAACCGCUUACCUUCCAACAGGCUCGGGCAACAGGGGCACGACAGCCCCAUGGAAAUGCAGACACCCAUGUCCACGCACACAAGCGCCAUUCACAGGGAAGUAUUUUCCUGACACGAAAUCCAAUGUCAGUUUCCUUUCCUUUCCCCGUUUUAUAUUUUUCCACCCCCCUUCACCAGAAAUCUUUUUUAACCUCCUCAGAGCCUUGGGGGAAAAGAGCCAUUAAUUUGCAAAUCAUCUGAUCUGUGAAAGGAUCAAGAUGCCUGGUUUUCACUGCUAAAUCCAACGUCUUGAGUGGACACAGAGGCACACACAAGCCCGUCAUGCUGCCAACCCUUGGGAGCAUAGGUGCCAGAUCUGAAGCCAAGAAAAGACUCCCUCUCCUCCCGGGACCUGCAGCUGAAUUAAGCCUUAGAUUCCAAACUGCAUAAUGUUCAUAUUUUUAAACCUGGAGAGAAGUGGAGAGAUGAAGGGGGACAAAAAGAGGGGGAACUUUGUUAAUUAACGUGUUCCAUUCAGGACUUAGACUAAUUGUCUUCCCCACUUCCAGCCGCCCCCCAACCCAAGCCAUUUCUUACAGGAGUUGCUUUUAUUCAUUCUCAUGUUCUACUUUUCUCAUUUUUGGAUUAAUAUCUACUUGUUUAAUAUCUACUGUGGCGCAAAAACGUGACCACGCUCUUUCUUUUCAGAGGGUUGGAAGCAGCACAGGAUUCCUAGACAAGGAGCUUGGAGACUUGGCUACACUGUCCCUGGCCAUUGGGGAAGACGUUUACCCUUUCCGGGCCUCAGUUUUCUCAUCUGUAACAUGAGGUGAUUCGGCUAAAUGAUUACUGAGGUCCCUUCCAGCUCCGACCUCCUCUGGCCGAAUGAGAUAAUGUGUGAAAACACUUUGUGAACACUAACACCAGACAGAUGCCAGGGAUCAUUAUUGCAAUUCUAAUCAAUCCUCUUUUCUCCACAUGGAUCUUGGCUGUUUAGUGCCAGCAAGCAGGCUAAAGGGGGCUGAAAGCAAGAAAGCUUAGCGGACAUGGAAAAGCUCUGUGCAGUGGGAGGAAAAAAAAAAAAAACCCUGCAUCUCCAGAAACAUUGUGUCUCUGUGUGCCCCCUGAGGCCUAGUGGGAAGGGUUGGGGAAGAGGAGGCCUGACUUGGUAUGACCCAUUUUGGUCUACAUGGCGGCAGAGAGUGUAUUUCUUCAAAAGCAUUGUUGGUCUCCAAGUGACUGACAUGGGAACCUGAUGGGAAGGCGAUUUGCAAUUGUUUUUUUCCAGGAAGAAAGAAAGAGCAAGGUGUAGCUGAUUAGCAAGUUAAUUAUUUCAGUACCCCAAGGGUUCCAGUGUGGUGGUAAGUUGUCCAGCCCUGGUGUAAUUUCACAGUCUGUGCAUUUCCUGGCGAGCACCUGGGGUGCCCGAGUCUGUCUCUUUCUCCUUCCACCUGCCUUGUGUCUUCCUGACACACCUGGGGAGAUGAGCAGGGGCUGGGGAGGUUGAUGGUACAAGGUACACAUUCGGCUUAGGCUGCGGGUGGGGGCCACGCCAAGAACAGGGUGGAGGAAGCCCAACUGAUGCCAUCUACCUCCGCUGAGUGUUUAAUUAUCUGGCCCUUUCUUCUUUAAAAAAAAAUCUUUUGUUUAAUAAAUAUUAAUGAGGCGGGUUAUCGGAAAGUGUAGUUGCCAUGAGGUUAUUUCCCCAGCCUUAGCAUGGAAAGAAACUGGGUUUGAGGAGCCUUUCGGCCCCUCACCGCCUUCUACCCCCACCAGCUCUCCCGUGCUCACGUUCCGCAGCAGCUCUUCCGGUCUCACUUCAAGAUUUGAUUUCCCCUUGGGGGAGGGUAGGGGAGGGAAGAUCAUGUGGUCAAAUGGACACUUCCCCUCGGAGAGAUAAGUUGGAGAUGUGAACAUUAGCCUCAAGAAUUAACAGCUUCUGCCGCUCUCUGCUCUCGGGGCUGAGAGGGCCAGCCCCCCGCUGCUCCUUCCGCGAUGGAUGAAGGGAGGGCUCUACAGUUUACUUAAGAGUGGUCCCAUCUGCUCAGACUGGCCUUUCAUAAGGGGAGGGAUUUAUGCAGUGUCCUUGUGCACAGACCUGGGAUUUGGCUGAAAACCUUGGGCCUCUGAGAAUAUUACUGAACGCUAAAACGUUCAGCCAUGGAGAUGAUUCAUGAUUUUGUCUGCAUGGACAGUGUGUGUGUGUGUGUGUGUGUGUGUGUGUGUGUGUGUGUUUGUUUGGGGUUGCACGCACAGUGAUGAUGGGUGCUAUUCACCGUUCUCACUUUGAAUCCAAAUGUUAGGAAACUUUUUUUCCUUCUGUAUUCACUCAGGAGACAGGCCCUGGCACCAGGCUCUGGAGACCCCACUUCCUGACUCCAGCGGUGCGAAGAUGAUACAAUACUUUCUGGUGCUGACAUUCAGCUGUCCCCCAAACAGGUUGGCUGAUAGCCCUGCCCGUCCUUGAAGAGGGGCCGAGGGCUGUCUAAAAAGACAGUUCUGAUGACUGCUUCGUUGCUAGUGGCAGAGGAUUUGGGGCACAGGGGUGGAGUUAAGUCCAAUUGCUGUUUAAAUUGGACUUGGCCUCCUUUAUUUUACAGUCCUAAGGGGUCUCCAUAGGAGAAAAAGUAGCGAGAGCAACUUAGAACACAGGAAAGCAAGCAUAGGGAAGAGUUUCUUGUCUCAAUCUUGGUACUGCCGUGCCAAAAUGAAGCCCAGGGAUGGUUAAAAACGGAUCCUAGGGACCGGGCACCUUGGCUCAGGCCUGUAAUCCCAGCACUUUGGGAGAUCAAGAUGGGAGGAUUGCUUGAGGCUAGGAGUUCGAGACCAGCCUGGCCAACAUAGUGAGACCUCAUCUCCAAAAAUAAAAACUUAAAAAAAAAUUUAAAAAACAAAAACAAAAAUACAGAUCCUAGGGAACAGAGCUUUGAGGUUCCCUGUGGGAUCUUGGCCUGACUCUUGGGAGAUGAAGAAGUCCUUGGCAAGUUUGAAAAGAUCUACAAGUGCCAUCUAUUCAGGGGACUAAAUGUGAUUUCUUUUCACCGCCCAGUGGCUGGUAAGGAAGGAAGCAUUUUGCAUUUUCAGCUUGUAGGAUGGUUAUUGGUGGUCCUACCAUCUUGCUCAUGUUCAAGUUUGGUCGUGUAGAUGAAGACCCCAGCUUCCCAGCUCUUAGUUUUUCUUUUCCCUCAGGCCAUUCAUAAUUUAGCUAACAUUCUAGUCCAUUGACCAGCAUGCAUUUUGAAAGGUGAGCUGGCAAGCCUGUAACUGUGUGCAAGGUUGUUCUCAUUUAGGCUCCAGGAAGGAUAUAGUUUCCCCAUAAGAAAGAAAAGUGGGCGAGAGGCUGAGGUGGGAGGUCGCUUGAGUCCGGGAGGCAAAGAUUGCAGUGAGCUGAGAACCAUGCCACUCACUGCCUUCCAGCUUGGGUGACAGAGUGAGACCCCAUCUCGAAAAAAAAGAAAAAAAAGAAAAAGAAAGAAAGAAAAAAAUAAAUAAAACAAGGAACUAUUUAUAUUAAUCUUUUAAUGAAGGAUUUACCAAUCUGAUAAGUACAAAGCUCCUUUUCCUCCUUCUGAAUGAGUAACUAUGUCAGUCAAUGUUGAGGGUCUGCAGAACCUAUACAAAAAUGCUUUCUUUGGUCUCUCAGUUUUAACACAUGCUGGGGCUUGGGCCUGCCUCUGACAGACUGGGGAGGAGUAGACACAUUCCAGAGACCAGGUCUUGGAGUGUUAUCUCUUCCCCCACCUCAAAUCCUCACCCUCCACUUUAUCUGUCUUUAGCACGAAUGCAGAGACCUCCUAGGGAAGUGUGAAGGGAUGGGUUUUCGUCAGGUUUGGGGAAGGAAGGGGAAUAAGAUGAGCCCCAAAGAAAGAUGGGGGUCAUUUGGAAUUUUUAGAUGACACUCUUUUGUUAUACUUUUCUUGUGUUGUGUAUUAUGUCCUACAAAUCGUGCAUUUGUUACAGUAAGCCACAGUGUGUAUGUGUGUUUGCCAAGUGCUACUUGGCCAAAACAGUGUUAAAUAAAAUUGUAAGAAAUGCU
rnacentral:lncRNA from 1 species